rnacentral:rRNA from 1 species
AGGACGAACGCUGGCGGCGCGCUUAACACAUGCAAGUCGAGCGAGAACCAUUCCUUCGGGAAUGGGGACAGCGGCGAACGGGUGAGUAACACGUGGGUAAUCUGCCCUCGAUUCUGGGAUAGCCCGGGGAAACCCGGAUUAAUACCGGAUAGCCUCUCGAGCUUUCGAGCUCUUGAGAAAAGGUAGCUUCGGCCUCCGAUCGAGGAUGAGCCCGCGGCGGAUUAGCUUGUUGGUGGGUAAUGGCCUACCAAGGCAACGAUCCGUAGCUGGUCUGAGAGGACGAUCAGCCACACUGGGACUGAGACACGGCCCAGACUCCUACGGGAGCAGCAGUGGGAAUCUUGCGCAAUGGGCGAAAGCCUGACGCAGCGACGCCGCGGUGGGGGAAGAGGCCGUUCGGUGUAAACCUCUUCAGUCGAGGACGAAGCCACGUCGGUUAACUA